CCUACGGGAGGCAGCAGUGGGGAAUAUUGCACAAUGGGGGAAACCCUGAUGCAGCGACGCCGCGUGAGUGAAGAAGUAUUUCGGUAUGUAAAGCUCUAUCAGCAGGGAAGAAGCAAGACGGUACCUGACUAAGAAGCACCGGCUAACUACGUGCCAGCAGCCGCGGUACUACGUAGGGGGCAAGCGUUAUCCGGAUUUACUGGGUGUAAAGGGAGCGUAGACGGUAUGGCAAGUCUGAAGUGAAAGCCUAGGGCUUAACCCUGGGACUGCUUUGGAAACUGUUAGACUAGAGUGCUGGAGAGGUAAGUGGAAUUCCUAGUGUAGCGGUGAAAUGCGUAGAUAUUAGGAGGAACACCAGUGGCGAAGGCGGCUUACUGGACAGUAACUGACGUUGAGGCUCGAAAGCGUGGGGAGCAAACAGGAUUAGAUACCCCAGUAGUC
rnacentral:rRNA from 1 species